AUUUAUUUCUUUCACAUGGUACCGAUACCAAUAAUGCAUAUAUGAGUGACGAUUCUAAGGUUGGGCAGAAAUCCUUUGCAAGAUUCAAGACAAACCAUUGCGAUUUCUUUACUCCGUUUAACCUCACUCGCAAAUCGCAAUUCGUAUCGAAUCUAUAAUCCUCGCAAUCUCCUUCGAUUUUGCCCCUUUUUCUGCAAAUCCUAACCCUAGUUCCCCCAUGGCCAGCGACAACGAAGAACGUAAGCAUCGUCGUUCAUCUGACGACGAAUCUGAAGAACCCUCGAAACGCCGUAAGCACCGCCAUCACCGCCGCCGACACCACCGUCAUCAUAGUCGAAAGCACGACAAGCACGAAGACAGACGUGAAGAGGGCGAGGAAGAAACCACAGAUAUGCCUCCUCCUCCUCUUCCUCUUCUUUCGUCUGCUAAUUCUCAGCCCGAUUAUGACAUGGAAGAAGGAGAGAUUUUGGAAGAGGAUGGCGCUGAUGUCGGGGUGAAGAAGACUGCAGAUUCUGAUGCCGAGUCUGGAGAAAUCAAAAUGGAAACCCAUGGAGCUUUGGUAGUGCCCAACCAUAGUCAUCUUAAGGAGGAAAGUUUAAGCAAGGAGGAUAACAGUAAUGGGCAUAUGAGAAGUGUUUCCCCUGGUGGAAACGAUAACAUAAAGACCCUUUAUGAUGAGGAUCAUGAAACAAGGGCCCACAAAAAACAUCCAUCUAAUGACAACCAUUUGAAAACACAUAAAGACUCAUCAAGAAACCAUGCACAUGAAAGAAGCCGAGAAGAUGUUUCUACUACUAGUAGAUCUAGGUCUCAUGAGCAAGGUAGGGAGAGGUCACGUUCUAGAAGCAUUUCUCAUGGAGCAUCUCGCCUUGAAACACACAAAGAGGAUAUUGAGUAUUACACAAGCAGGAAACACAGUGGGGAUGCUGAUAUUGAAAGGACAAAUAAGCCCUCGAAGGACUACAAACAUGGGAGUAGAGAUUUGAUAAGGGACAAAGAAAGAGAGCGUAGUUCUAGUCAUAGCAGACAUAGUCUACAAGUAGAUAAGCAUCACAGUCGAGACCCUGGAGAGAGAAUUAGAGAGGGCAGCAGAGAUAGGGAGAGAGAUAGAGAUAGAGGGAGAGAUUUGAAAGAGAUUGAGAGAGAUAGAAUGAAAAAGAAGGAAGCUGAAGUGGAAAGGCUUAACAAAAGUAACAAGGAUUCAGAGCGAUAUAGAGACAGAGAAAGAGACAGAGAAAGAGAAAGAGAAAGAGAAAGAGACAGGGAUAAUAGAGACAGGAGAGAGAGGGAAAGGUGGGAUUUAGAGAGAGAUAGUAGAAGUAGAAGAAACUAUGAUUACAAUGAUAGGAACAAUGAUUACAAACAUCAUAGACCUGAAGAAACAGACUACAGAGAUAGAACUAGGAAAUAUGAUGGACAAAAGGGUGAAAGUCACAAAGGUGCACCUUCAGAUGUAGAUAUAGAGAAGACUAAAAGGGAGGAGGCUGAUGAAGAGAUGUAUCAAGAAAGAAGUUCUUUGCAAAUUGAGGAAGAUGAAGAAGAAGAUCUUAAUAGAAUAAAGGAGGAAAGUAGAAGGCGUAGACAAGCCAUUCUUGAAAAGUACAAGACUAAAUCAUUGAAACAGCAGCAGCAACAACCUGUGCCUCAAUUAGAGGAUACAUCUAAAGCAAAUUCAGGCACUCUUGAAGGUCAAGGUGAAUUGUCAGAUAGUAACACAGGAGACACUCCAUUUUCAGUUGGAAGAUCUCCUCCACAAAAUGGCGUUGAGAGGACAUCUGGCACAGGUGGACUUGGAGAGGGUACUCCAAAGAGUGAAAGAUCAAAUGGUGAUGAUAUAUUUGGGGAAUCUCCACCUCAUGCACGUGAAAGGAAAGAGGAAAGAUCAAACGACAUGUUCACUGAUGAUAUAUUUGGAGAAUCACCAACUGGAGUCCGAAAACCUGGAAAAGGAGAUGGUUUAGCCAUUCAAAGAAGUGGUCUUCAGGAUAACUGGGAUGAUGCAGAAGGCUACUACAGCUACCGUUUUGGAGAAGUACUUGAUAGCCGAUAUGAAGUUCUUGCAGCACAUGGGAAAGGUGUGUUUUCAACAGUGGUUCGUGCAAAAGAUCUGAAAGCAGGAUCCACUGAUCCAGAAGAAGUGGCAAUAAAAAUCAUCCGCAACAAUGACAAAAUGUAUAAGGCUGGAUUGGAAGAGCUGGUGAUACUGAAGAAGUUAGUAGGUGCUGACAUGGAGGACAGGAGGCACUGUGUGCGGUUUAUUUCUAGUUUCAAGUAUCGGAAUCAUCUUUGUUUAGUUUUUGAGUCUCUUCAUAUGAAUCUUCGUGAAGUAUUAAAGAAGUUUGGUAGAAAUAUUGGUCUUAAACUAACUGCUGUAAGGGCCUAUGCAAAACAGCUCUUCAUUGCUCUAAAACACCUUAGAAACUGUGGUGUCCUUCAUACUGACAUCAAGCCUGAUAACAUGCUGGUAAAUGAUGCGAAGAAUGUUCUAAAGCUUUGUGACUUUGGGAACGCCAUGUUUGCUGGGAAGAAUGAGAUCACACCAUACCUUGUGAGCCGCUUUUAUCGUGCCCCUGAAAUAAUUCUAGGUUUGACUUAUGAUCACCCUGUUGACAUGUGGUCUGUUGGCUGCUGUCUGUUUGAGCUCUACACUGGAAAAGUUCUCUUCCCUGGUGCCACAAACAAUGACAUGCUUCGCCUUCACAUGGAACUCAAAGGCUCUUUCCCUAAAAAAAUGCUUCGAAAGGGAGCGUUUACCGAACAGCAUUUUGAUUCGGAUCUUAACUUUGUUGCUAUAGAGGAGGACCCUGUUACCAAGAAGACUGUGAAGAGAUUGGUUAAUAUGAAGGCGAAAGAUAUCAGUUCAAUUGUUAUGAGCUCACCUGGAGAGGAUCUGAAAAUGGUAGCAAAUUUUAAGGAUCUUUUGGAGAAGAUAUUCAUUUUGGAUCCUGAUAAGAGGCUAACUGUACACCAGGCAUUGAGUCAUCCAUUCAUCACUGGAAAAUAACAGACUUUUUAUCAAUUUUAAUGAUAUAAAAUUUGAUUUUAGAUCUUUCUAAUCAUUGGACAUUUAUCUGUGUCUUUCUUUACCUAUGUGCUGACAUGGCGGAGGUACGCUGAAAUGGACGACCUGACCUGACCGGUUGGCAUUGGGAUGUGUACUGUGUUCUAUUGAAUCCAGCAGUGCUGUUAUGUAUAUGAGGCAGUGUUUAAAUGGCACUCUGGAGAAGGUAUUUUGGUUUGUUUGUUUGGAUAUUUUUCAGAAAAAUAUUUUCUUUUUCUUCAUGAGUUACUGGUGGUGGAAUGAAUGACAUAUGUUUCUUUCUCAUUGUAAAGUAUAGUUAUUAUAGAGUGUUUUUUUUUGUUACAUAUAAUUAAUUAAAGUUAAAAAUUAUAUUCUAAUGAUAUUCUGUUCCACCUGAUUCAUGGUUUGGUGCGUGUGUGUGCUGGAGGCUGGGGCUUUAAAGUAAAGACUACAUACAGAUACAGUCUCUUUGCAUCCAUCUUCAGCUUCUGUAAGUAAGAAAACUGAUUGUGUCUUGUUGUCUUUUUGCAUAAAUAGUCGAAUAGAUAGAUGAUAAGAUGAAUGUUUGGUAGUUAUAUUUUUUAUUGUGUAUUUUAUUUAUAAAAAUAAAUGUGGGGAGUAGGUGUUCUUGAGUGAA